UUAGCAUAGUGCAAUAAAUAUACACAUGAAACAUUUUAUUUAUUUGUAAACCACAAUGUCAUAGUUUACAUUAAAAUUAUCAGCUUUGUUUUUUUGCAAGGUACAAAUACUACAGUAGCAGUAUAUAUAUACAUGUUUGAUGAUUGUUUCUUCUUUCAAAUCAACAUCUCCGAUUCUUCACAACCUACUGUACAAUGUAAAAGAGUUAGUAAGAAGUCCUAGAAAUGAAAAAAAAUACUCCAAAUUCACGGAAGAGUUCAUAACAAAAACACUCUAGAAAAGAAAGAUCAACAAGAAGAUUAGGUGUACACCACUGGAUAGACUGGAUAAAGUAAUAUCUUAUGCACACAGAUCGCACAAGUCUAUACAUCAAAGUUACCCCAAACAAAUGUGUAGCCGUCUUACAUAUCUCUCAACAGAACUGAAGUUCACAUGUUUCUCCUCUAGCAAAAUAUCUUCCUUGUUGUAUUUGUUCCAGUCUAGACCUCGUCGCUUUCAAAGGUACGAACAAAACAACUGCAAAACAUAAUGGUGGCACAGAUGAUGAUUCAUCAUCUACAUAUUAUAAAGAAAGAACGAAGGAGAGGCAGUGGUGACUUGUCGGAUGCGAGGUGUGGACAACUUGGGCAAGUCGUCGUGCAGCCAUGGGGCAUGGUGAGACAGCAAGCCCAGGGGCGAGUGCCAUCGAUCGGGCAUCCUAUGAGUAAUAGCGACUUACUUCCAUGUUGGGUCGUCCGUUUCACAUAGCUGGAUGCAAGGAGCACCGCUACUGGGUGGCUGAAUGUAGGGAUCGAUGGCGUCCUACGUAAAAUGAGGCCUGGAUGUAAUCUUAAAUAAUUUCAUCUGCACGUCAACUAAAAUCAGUGCCCAAAAAGAUAAAUCAAAGUUUAGAUAGAAUAAACAAAUACUGAAAUAGAUUGGCCGCAGUGAAACUUGUUAUGAAUAAAAAACAUUAAGAGACUUUCUUGAUAAGGUAAUAAUGGUGUAGAACAAGAUAGAGAUAUUGCACGUCCUAGAUUGAACAACCAAUUCUUACGAGAUCUAAAUACCCUUUUGAUAAUCAACUAAACCUAGGAACAACAACUAAAGGAUCUUUGGCCACUAAUAAAUACAAAAUGAAAAUCUAAUAAAUGAGUACAGGAGAAGGUGUAACCUUGAAGAAGAUGCUGAAUGAGAUGUGAAACAACGCCAUGUAUCCUCUGUACAACACAAAAUUUAUGUAAUAGACACGUAGAUAAAAUAUCAAACACUUGGUGUGCAAAAACAAAUACCGUUAACCAUCAGUUUCUGCAUAUUCAUAAGGAUAUAUAAGUUCAGUCGCUCUCUACUUCCGAUCAUCUGAUAAUCCAUGUGAUAUGAAUACCUGAACUCUUUACCUUGCCACGGUAAUUCCAGAUGAGCAAAAAGUUAACAGUGGCUUCAAGCUUUCAGGCCUGUCACUCAGCUAGUCAUCUUUGAAGAUAUAAAUUGUAGAGAAAGUGCAUCCCAUUCCAUUGGGUUGUCAUCCUUGUCC
rnacentral:lncRNA from 1 species